AUCAGCUAAAUUAUCAGAUUCUUAUAUCGGCAUUGCACGAGUCCGAGGAAAAACGAGGUUGUAUGGCCUCAGCAGGACAAUCUGGUGAAUCAUCGGAAAACACAGAUUCAUUGGCAAUAAGGGAAUUCUACAUGAAGAAAGCUGCACGAGAGGAGAAGAGAAGACCGUUGAAAUAAUUAAAUGAUGAAAUGCCUCAUUAUACUUGUUCAAGGUAUGCAGGAGAGGGUUUAAGGAGCUUUAGGAUUAGAUUGCAAAUAUAAUAAUGGCAGGUCUUUGGUAGACCAAGUAAUAUGAUAAUUAUGGACUGAGAUUAUUGAAAAACAAAUGGAGAGCAAGAUAUUAUAAGGGUUCAAACUUAUAUUUGAUUUAUGUUUAUUUUUAUUUUAUAAGAAUGAGAAACAAUAUGUAUUUAAGAGAAAUAUUAUGUAAGUUUGUUUUAGUAAAUAUGAAUGAUUUAGUUUCACUAAUAAAAAAAAUUAUUUUGAGAUAU